rnacentral:rRNA from 1 species
UAAAGCGUAAAAGAGCGUAGAGUGAAUGCCUUGGCAUUGGGAGCCGAAGAAGGACGUGGUUAACUGCGAAAAGCUACGGGGAGUCGUAAGCAGACAUUGAUCCGUAGAUGUCCGAAUGGAGCAAUCCGCAUGGAGUUAGUCCAUGCAUCCAUAAGUGAAUUCAUAGCUUAUGGAGGGGAACCGCCUGAACUGAAACAUCUAAGUAGGGCGAGGAAGAGAAAUCAAACGAGAUUUCGUAAGUAGUGGCGAGCGAACGCGAAAGAGGCUAAACCAAGAGAAGAAAUUCUUUUGGGGUUACGGACUGCGAUAUGUAUCUGAGGACUUAGCAGAAUGGUAUGGGAAAGCCAACCAGAGAAUGUGAUAGUCAUGUAUGCGAAAAGGAAUCAGAGCUAGCAGGAUCCAAAGUACCGCGGGACACGAGGAAUCCCGUGGGAAGUCGGGGGGACCACCCUCCAAGCCUAAAUACUACCCAAUGACCGAUAGCGAAAAGUACUGUGAAGGAACGGUGAAAAGAACCCCGGGAGGGGAGUGAAAAGAACCUGAAACUUUAUGCUUACAAGCACAUAGAGCACGUCAAAGUGUGAUAUGGUACCUUUUGUAGAAUGGUCCGGCGAGUUAUUGUAUGCAGCAAGGUUAAGGUCUUCAGGACUGAAGCCGAAGCGAGAGCGAGUCUGACAAGGGCGAUAAGUUGUAUGCAAUAGACCCGAAACCGGGUGACCUAGCCAUGUUCAGGUUGAAGUGGAGGUAAAGCUCCAUGGAGGACCGAACCGACCUCCGUUGAAAAGGCGGCGGAUGAAAUGUGGCUAGCGGAGAAAUUCCAAUCGAACCCGGAAAUAGCUGGUUCUCCCCGAAAUAGCUUUAGGGCUAGCGUUGUAUUAGAUUUCUGGGGGUAAAGCACUGAAUAGGCUAGGGGCCGAGAGGUUACUGAACCUUAUCAAACUAAGAAUACCAGAAAAUUGAUGUACAGCAGUCAGACUAUGUGAGAUAAGUCUCAUAGUCAAAAGGGAAACAGCCCAGACCCACAGCUAAGGUCCCAAAACAGAUUUAAGUGGAAAAGGAUGUGGGAUUGCCCAGACAACCAGGAUGUUGGCUUAGAAGCAGCCACACAUUAAAAGAGUGCGUAAUAGCUCACUGGUCGAGUGAUCCUGCGCCGAAAAUUCAACGGGGCUAAAAUUUGUACCGAAGCUUGGGCUUGAUACUUCGUAUCAGGGGUAGGGGAGCGUCAUGUAUGAGGUGAAGUCAUAGCGGAAGCGGUGGUGGAUUGUACAUGAGAGAGAAUGCCGGAAUGAGUAGCGAGAAUUAUGUGAGAAUCAUAAUGGCCGAAAAUCUAAGGUUUCCUGAGGAAGGUUCGUCCGCUCAGGGUAAGCCGGGAGCUAAGGUGAGGCGGAAACGCGUAGCCGAUGCACAUACGGUAGAGAUUCCGUAGCCUCCGAAAAGUAAAGCACAGGGACGCUUCAGAAGUGUUACGCCGGGCGAUGGUUGCCCCGGUUGUAAAGGACACAAUUGAGUGGAAGGUAACAUGGAUGGAGACAAGAAAAGCUGUGUGUAUCUGGAAGGAGCCCGUACCGCAAACCGACACAGGUAGAUAGGAAGAAGAUUCUAAGGCCAGCGGGAGAAGGGUUGUUAAGGAACUCGGCAAGUUGACCCCGUAACUUCGGGAGAAGGGGUGCUUACGAAGGUAAGCCGCAGAGAAUAGGCCCAAGCGACUGUUUAGCAAAAACACAGCUCUAUGCUAAAUCGAAAGAUGACGUAUAUGGGGUGACACCUGCCCGGUGCUGGAAGGUUAAGAGGAGAUGUGAGAGCAUUGAAUUGAAGCCCCAGUAAACGGCGGCCGUAACUAUAACGGUCCUAAGGUAGCGAAAUUCCUUGUCAGGUAAGUUCUGACCC